rnacentral:rRNA from 1 species
CAGCAGCCACGGUAACACAGAGGGUGCAAGCGUUAAUCGGAAUUACUGGGCGUAAAGCGCGCGUAGGUGGUUUGUUAAGUUGGAUGUGAAAUCCCCGGGCUCAACCUGGGAACUGCAUCCAAAACUGGCAAGCUAGAGUAUGGUAGAGGGUGGUGGAAUUUCCUGUGUAGCGGUGAAAUGCGUAGAUAUAGGAAGGAACACCAGUGGCGAAGGCGACCACCUGGACUGAUACUGACACUGAGGUGCGAAAGCGUGGGGAGCAAACAGGAUUAGAGACCCCUGUAGUCCCUGUCUCUUAUAA